rnacentral:rRNA from 1 species
UACGUAGGGUGCAAGCGUUUGUCCGGAAUUAUUGGGCGUAAAGAGCUCGUAGGCGGUUUGUCGCGUCUGCUGUGAAAACCCGAGGCUCAACCUCGGGCCUGCAGUGGGUACGGGCAGACUAGAGUGCGGUAGGGGAGAUUGGAAUUCCUGGUGUAGCGGUGAAAUGCGCAGAUAUCAGGAGGAACACCGGUGGCGAAGGCGCUGCUCUGGGCCGAAACUGACGCUGAGGAGCGAAAGCGUGGGUAGCAAACAGG